ACCCGCUUGAACUUAAGCAUAUCAAUAAGCGGAGGAAAAGAAACCAACAGGGAUUGCUCUAGUAACGGCGAGUGAAGCAGCAAUAGCUCAAAUUUGAAAUCUGGCGUCUUCGACGUCCGAGUUGUAAUUUGUAGAGGAUGCUUCUGAGUAACCACCGACCUAAGUUCCUUGGAACAGGACGUCAUAGAGGGUGAGAAUCCCGUAUGCGGUCGGAAAGGUGCUCUAUACGUAGCUCCUUCGACGAGUCGAGUUGUUUGGGAAUGCAGCUCUAAAUGGGAGGUAAAUUUCUUCUAAAGCUAAAUAUUGGCCAGAGACCGAUAGCGCACAAGUAGAGUGAUCGAAAGAUGAAAAGCACUUUGGAAAGAGAGUUAAAAAGCACGUGAAAUUGUUAAAAGGGAAGGGAUUGCAACCAGACUUGCUCGCGGUGUUCCGCCGGUCUUCUGACCGGUCUACUCGCCGCGUUGCAGGCCAGCAUCGUCUGGUGCCGCUGGAUAAGACUUGAGGAAUGUAGCUCCCUCGGGAGUGUUAUAGCCUCUUGUGAUGCAGCGAGCGCCGGGCGAGGUCCGCGCUUCGGCUAGGAUGCUGGCGUAAUGGUCGUAAUCCGCCCGUCUUGA
rnacentral:rRNA from 1 species